rnacentral:rRNA from 1 species
UGCCAGCAGCCGCGGUAAUACAGAGGUGGCAAGCGUUGUUCGGAUUUACUGGGCGUAAAGGGUGCGUAGGCGGCAUUGUAUGUCGGACGUGAAAGCUCACGGCUCAACCGUGAAAUUGCGUCCGAAACUGCAAAGCUAGAGUACAGGAGAGGAGAGUGGAAUUCUCGGUGUAGCGGUGAAAUGCGUGGAUAUCGAGAGGAACACCAGUGGCGAAGGCGACUCUCUGGACUGAUACUGACGCUGAGGCACGAAAGCUGGGGUAGCGAAGAGGAUUAGAUA